CUUUAUGGUGGCUGUGCGUGGGGCACUUUCGAGUGCGCCGGGUCCCUUGGUAACCGGUCUGCUAACCCGCGUACAGUCGCCACCCAA
rnacentral:antisense_RNA from 1 species